rnacentral:rRNA from 1 species
CCUACGGGUGGCAGCAGUGAGGAAUAUUGGUCAAUGGGCGCGAGACUGAACCAGCCAAGUCGCGUGAAGGAUGAAUGCACAAAGUGUUGUAAACUUCUUUUAUCAAGGAAUAAAGUGAGGCACGUGUGCCUUUUUGUAUGUACUUUAUGAAUAAGCAUCGGCUAACUCCGUGCCAGCAGCCGCGGUAAUACGGAGGAUCCGAGCGUUAUCCGGAUUUAUUGGGUUUAAAGGGAGCGGAGAGGGGUUGGUAAGUCAGUUGUGAAAGUUUGGGGCUCAACCGUAAAAUUGCAUUUGAAACUGGCAGUCUUGAGUAGAGUUGAGGUAGGCGGAAUGCGGGGUGUAGCGGUGAAAUGCAUAGAUAGCGCGAAGAACUCCGAUUGCGAAGGCAGCAUACUAAACUGCCACUGACAUUGAGGCUCGAAAGUGUGGGUAUCAAACAGGAUUAGAUACCCGGGUAGUC